rnacentral:lncRNA from 1 species
CAUAUAAGCAAAAACGUGUUAAAAUCUUAUAUGCUAAGAGAUUAUGUUAGAUUUAUGUAAUCCUGUGAGAAUAAUAUUAAAUUAUUAAUGAGAAGAAUCGGUCCACGCCAAUAUAUAUUAAAAAAAAAAUAUAAUCCGAGGCGAUGUAACAAAGAUUAUCUAAAGAUUGUGACUGAUUUAGGGAAAAUUUGUACCAUGGAUGAGAUUAUGAUGCAACACCAACAAUCUGAACUGAGAAAUGGCUAUGCCGCUAGACAUUACAGCUAGGUUCCAAGCACCCAUAUCUG